ACCAAAAGCACAAAACAACACCACUCUACAAUAUUUAAGUACAGCAUUCUAAUUGAGUAGUUGCUGCAUUCUCUCCGUCUCCCCCACUCGAAUAGAAAUCGUACAAAAAGACACCUGGAUUCGGUGGCUCAACCCAAUGACGUCCCAAUGCGUAUUAGUUUGCAUGAAACAAGAAGAACCAUAAAGAAACCCAAAACAAAGAGAAAGGAGAGACUUUUAAAGCUAUAAUACCACAGAAGAGUAAGUUGGACGCUUGUUUUAUUGUUUGGAAUUAUUCGCGAAUCAAUCCGAUUGACCACCCGUGAUAUUAAAUGCCUCAUCAGCUCUAAUCCAAUAGAAUAAACUGACCAAUAAUAAUGGAUAUGGUUUGCUGCAUCUCCCACAACCGUCAGCAACGCCUUCCAGACUAAACAUCCAAUUAUUACGUCAGACUGCGUUCACCCAUGUCACCAAGUCAAAAGGGCCCACG
rnacentral:lncRNA from 1 species